GCCCGCGUAGCUCAGUUGGAUAGAGCGACUGCCUCCUAAGCAGUAGGCCAGAGGUUCAAGUCCUCCCGCGGGUGCCA
rnacentral:tRNA from 1 species